UAGCUACUCCCUCCGUUCCGAAUUACUUGUCUUGGAUUUGUCUAGAUACGGAGGUAUCUAGACUCAUUUUAGUGCUAGAUACCUCCGUAUCUAGACAAAUCCAAGACAAGUAAUUCGGAACGAAGGGAGUACAAC
rnacentral:pre_miRNA from 1 species